rnacentral:rRNA from 1 species
UACGUAGGGUGCAAGCGUUAAUCGGAAUUACUGGGCGUAAAGCGUGCGCAGGCGGUUGAUGUAAGACAGGUGUGAAAUCCCCGGGCUUAACCUGGGAACUGCAUUUGUGACUGCAUAGCUAGAGUACGGUAGAGGGGGAUGGAAUUCCGCGUGUAGCAGUGAAAUGCGUAGAUAUCGGAAGGAACACCAGUGGCGAAAGCGGCUUCCUGGUCCAGCACCGACGUUCAGGCACGAAAGCGUGGGGAGCAACAGG